rnacentral:tRNA from 1 species
GUGGCCGCUGGAUCGGACGCUGGAUCAUCUGGUUGCCGAUCAGGUCGGCCAAACGACACCUUUUCCGACGCUUGAGUUCAGCUGCAACAGCCACC